rnacentral:lncRNA from 1 species
UAUAGGUGUUGUAAUAAUUACAAAAACACCCCUGCCUGAAAACUGCUCGCACUGCACUGUGUACCGGUACACGGGCUCGCGUACCGGUACAACACCUGCGAAACAGCCAAACUCGAGCCUCGGGUUUGCACAAAAUUCGUCUGCGUACCGAUACAGCCAUCAGCGCGUACCGGUACAGCCAUCAGCCCCGUACCGGUACACAGCCCUGCUAAUGCUACCCGAGAGCUGACAAAAAAUCUGACUUUUCAGAUUUUGGUGCUAGGUUUUAAACCUCCAAUCUCGGAGUUCGAACCAUGGGUCGGAACACUGUCAACGACCCUCCACGAAGUGUGGAAAGGCUCAGAACACGAAACAAACACUCGAACCUUACAAUUUGCAAAGGUCCAGUGCGUCACACUUAAAUUGCAAUUUAAAUUCAUAAAUUUAAUCUAAAUUUUGAAUAAAAUUUGAAUAAAAAUUUAAAUUUUAAAUUAAAAUUAAAAUUUAAAUUAGAUUCAAAAUGCUUGAUUGAAUUUUAAUUUUUAAUUUAAGUUCAAUUAAAAUUUAAAUUUAUAAAUAUAAUUUUUAAAUUUAAUCUUAUGUUUUAAUUAAAAGAAUAAGCUUUGAAAAGUUAAAUUUAAUCUGAACAAAUCUAUUCCGUUCGGAUUUAAUUUUCAAUCCGACCUCCUAAGUCGGAUUGAAGAAAGCAGUAAUUGGGAGGAUUCCUAUUCACCCGGAAAUCGGAAUCGGAAUGGAAAUCCCGCAUACCAAACACGGACAAACGGAUUCGUCCAUUCCGAUUCCGAUUCUGGAGUGAAAAAUAGGCGAACCAAACAUGCCCUGAAUGUAUUAGUUAUUUUACACAAUUUUGUAUUGGAUAU